rnacentral:antisense_RNA from 1 species
AUUUGAUUAAGAGCAUCUUCACCGACUUUACCAUUUUUCUUAAUAAAUUCGGCGUAAUAAGGUUUCAUUGCUUCUUUAAAUGGAGCAAGAUCCGGUUUGGUUACUGUUACACCUUGU